CUGGCAGUCCCUGAGACUGAGGAAGCAAAUAAAUACACAGCUGAGCCCCUCAAAGCCCACCUCCAAACUGGAAGACCUACAUGGAAACCCCCUGAAAGCAGUCAGAACAAAGGGAGUCAGAUCAGUCCUUGGUCCAGCUCUGCCUGCCACCACCUGUCCCACAUGGAAAAAACAUAGCAAACAUUUCACAGUGUCUGUUUUCCAUUCCUCCUCUCCGGUAGCUGGUGCUGUGUGUUUGCCUUGCAUGCAUGCAGGCCAGCAUGUUGGCCUUUAUGGAAGGGUUAAACCAGCAUUAAGAGAUGCUCUGCUCUAUAAGAUUUCAGGCAUGUUCUGAAGAACUUUCCUCCUGGCAGCAUCCCCUGAGGGAUGAGGGAUGGAGAACUGCCUUCUCCUUGGAAGGACAACCUGGAGGUGCAGGAGCAUUCCAGAGCUGUGCACUGGUGCAGGCUGUCCAUGAAAGGAGAGUUCUCACCCCAGCAAACAUCAUGGUUAAACUUACAUCAAGGCUUUGGGCUCGAGGCUGUUUUGCUGCUGUAUGGGUAGCGAAUUCAGAUUUACUUAUGGAUUUUGAAGGUGUCUGAAAUCUGAACCCAGUGCUGCUUCAGAGCCCGGACCCAUCUCUUCAUUCAUUUUGCUGCCCCUGCUCUCCUGCAGAAGAAGCAGUCUCCCUCCUGACUUCAGUGCUCUCAGUUUUCCACUUAUCCCAGAAGAAGGGAAUUUCUCCUCCCCAUCAGAGUACCUUGCAGGGAGCAUCCUGGCAGCCUGCAGGACACAAACCCUCAGCUGUGCAGAUUGCAGCGCUGCCUGGAAGCAGGCAGACCGCUCUCCUGGAACCACCACCGUCAGCGAGCUUCACCUCCAUUUCCUCCAGGACUCUGGGACCUUCGUCAUUCCAAAGCCCUUUUAAAAUGUCAUCACUUCAGGAGAGGAUCGAGCCAGGGCUGGCCUGCUGGGUGACGGAGCGAUCAGGCUUUGAACUUUGAGUCUGGGAAGCCGGGAGAAGCCAGAGCAGGAGCUGACAUCACCCUCACUCGAGGCGAGCGGCACGGAUUCUCCCCGAGCCUGCACAUUGUAGCCACUGUCGGACGGUGACGGGAAGCCAGGAUGAUGAACGCAUGAGUCACUGCAGCUCCGUGCUCUCCUGGGAGGAAGGAGCAAGAGUUUCCUCGCAAGAAGUAGCUUUUUUUUUUUUUUUUUUUUUUUUUUUCCCCCCGCUGUAAAUCUUCGAAGUGCAGUGAUGAGUCUGAAAGGUCACUGGGGCUUGGCACCGCUUUGGCAACUGCGAGCCAGAUGGCUUUGAUAGGGAGGGGAAGGCUGUCUGCUGCCGAGCAGCUCUGCAGCUUCACCUGCAGCUCAUCUGCUUCAGCUCUGCUCACCUCCUGGCUGCUCCCAGCAGCCAAGCAAAGGCUUUUUGGAGUUGGGAAUCCUGGUCCUACCUAAGAGAAUGGGAUUUUGCAUUUGCAUUCAGCAAGGGAAGGGUUUCAACAAAGGGCCCUGCUUGUAUUUUGAGGAAAUAGUGCACGCCUGCUGAGUGUCCUCAACGGGCCCAGAGCUCCUGGAUUUGCACACCAAACUGUAUGUUGCACACCAUCUGUACGUUGCCUCCACUCUGAGCUCAGCACUGCCAUUCAGACCAAUGGGAUAUGAGUCAGAGCUCCUUCCACGUGUAAAUUACUGUUAUUAAUGGAAGUCCCCUUUCUUGGAUAUGGAAGAAGAGCGUCAGUGCUAAAGGACAUGCAGGUAACAAACCCUUCCUCUGGGGAUGCAGAGAUGUGCAGAGCUCCAUGACAAUGCUCACGCUGCCCUGUAGCAAGGUGUCAAGCAGAGAGCACUCAAACCUGAGCUCUGAGCAUCCUUGGGAGGUGGGAGACAAACCCAAACAGGCUUCAGAAGAAGGGAGAGAUGAAAAGAAGGAUGGCAAAGACAGCCAACCAACUUCGGUCCACGAAUACUAAUUGAAGUCCAUGGGAACAACCUGAUGAUACCAAGAUUAAGACUGCAAUAAUGGCUUACCAAGGUCAAUCUAGCACAGUGUUUUGCCACUGCAAGGGGAUGAAAGCAGAUGCCUGGGGAAGAGUUUAAGGAUACAAUAAACAUGCACUGAUUUCUUUUUCCCCCCCA
ensembl:lncRNA